rnacentral:rRNA from 1 species
GACGAACCGUGCGAACGUUAUUCGGAAUCAUUGGGCUUAAAGGGCGCGUAGGCGGCGGUGUAAGUUGGAAGUGAAAUCCCAUCGGCUCAACCGUGGAAUCGCUCCCAGUACUGCAUCGCUCGAGGGGGAUAGGGGUCUGCGGAACUACCGGUGGAGCGGUGAAAUGUGUUGAUAUCGGUGGGAACGCCAGUGGCGAAAGCGGCAGACUUGACCCUUCCUGACGCUGAGGCGCGAAAGCUAGGGGAGCAAACGGG